ACUUCCGGUUGGGUUCUGAAAAUUUUUACCACGGCAUUAUCGCAGAAUACUGGAUCAUCGAUGAGUCGCUAUAUACUUCAAUGGCGGCAUAGAUAAUACCGUACGGUAUUAUCUAUGAUGGCGGCAAUGGCGAUACUAACGAUUAUCCAGUACCUACUUCCAAACAUGUCUAAAUUACCACGUUUUACCUUAGAGGCCACGACUACCGUCUUCACGUAAGGUUUUGUUUCUACUUACUUUUACGAAAUUUCUUGAUUUCUUGAUCAUUUUAAAAGCAAAGCGGUCAUGGCUGAACUUUGUCUAUUAGGUCAUUCUUUCAUUCGUCGCGUAGCCCCGAGCGUAGGUUAUAGACUACCAAUUGAGUUGGGGGGUGGAGGGCGUGUCCAUCAAUAUCAUGUUUCGCAUAGCGGUGGCACUUCACGAAAUUUAAGACAGGAUGUUAGAAAGAUUCCUGUUAGCGUUGCUGUAGUUUUCGUUCAGACUGGGGGUAAUGACAUAGGUCCACACUAUCAACAGGCUGUUCGCAUUGUUGACGACAUAAUUAACUUAGUUAAUUUGAUUCGUCAGCAAUGUCCAUGGGCUGUUAUUGUUGUGGGCAGUUUGUUUGUUCGCCGCAAACCUCGUGGUCUGACCGAAAGCCAGUACAACGACGUUAAGGCUUCUGUGAACAGCCUGCUCCGCCACAGGUUGUCAUAUUUAUAUCGAAUGCUUUUUUGGAAUUCCAGUCGGAAGAUGAGGUAUAGGGAAUUGCACUUUGAUCAUGAGGGAGUUCACCUUAAUGCUGCAGGCAAUCGUCUUUUUGCGAGUUCGAUUCGUGCAGCAUUUAAGAAUGCUCUUUCCCUAUUCUAGUGAACUGUUCACUUAUUAAUUUUAUCGUUUUCCCUUUUCUUGGUGGAAGCAUUAUUGUUUAAUAAUGCACCACAAUAAAGGCUACCGGUAGCCUUCAAAUCAAGUAAUACUAGUAAUAGUCAGUGAUCCUGAUUGACCUGAAUGUGGUGUUAAAAAAAACUGGUGUUUGACAUUGAAAGAGGUAAAACUGCAUGCCCCAAUAAAAACAGAAAAUAAUAAAGAAGUUAACAAAAAUGAAAGUAUUGACAGUAGAUGAAUUUGAGGAUAUACUGAAGUGUGUAUUUUGUUGAGAUUAAUCUAAAAGACUUUUCUUCUAAUAUGAUGAUGCAAGAACCAGAUUUACUGAUUUCUACUCUCAACAUUAAACAUACAUUAUGCAAGAGCUAAAUCUGCCUAUUGUAGGUCUUUCUUUAGGCCUGAAAUGUUAUCUAAAUUAUUAAUUAGACAUUAACGUAUCCAGACCAUAAUCAACGCUAGCCUGCAAUAAUUGUUGGAUUAUGAUCUGAUUUGCUGCAUAACUUUCCUUCUCGAUUUAAUGAUUAAAUGGAUAAUCGAGACUAUGAUUUUUGUCGUACCGACUUUAAUAAUGAUGACCGAGGCUAUGCGGGCUUUCGAUCGCUUAUUUCUCGGUUCAUAGUGGAUCAAUUUGACUGACAUUUUCAACAAAUUGCCUUUACAUUAUCUAAUUUUUAACCAUUAUAGUGAGAACUGCCAACGCGUUAUCUAAUCUCCAAUAAUGUAUCUUUAAGACACUGUGGCAGAAUCUGUGAAAUACAAUUACAAGGAGGAUAUAUAAUAAAAUAUAUUAUCUGUUGA